GCAUAAAUUGUCGCUGCUUAUUUUACUUUGUUUUGCUCAAAUUGUCCAUGUUAUUCUUCCUUCUCAUUUAUUAUCCUGAAAACACUAAAAUACAAUGUUAAAUACAAUACUGUUUGCUUAAAAACACAUAAUUAUCCUAAGAAAAAGGCCUAAAAUAUUCUGUCAAAAGUCACAACAUCAAAGAGUCUAUAAGGGUUGUGUGGUAUCUGUUGGUGGUCAGGGGACUUUGGUGGAUCUAUUUGUAUUAGAAAUGGUUGACUUUGAUAUUAUUUUGGGAAUGGACUAGUUGUACUCAUUCUAUGCAUCUUUAGAUUAUCAGAUCCGUAAGGUCAUCUUUAAAUUCCCUAAUAAGCUGAUUAUUGAGUGGGAGGGUGGUUCCCUAGCUCCUAAGGGGAAUUUUAUAUCAUAUCUUAAAGCCCAGAUAUUAAUCUCUAAGGGGUGUCUCUAUCAUCUGGUUUGGGCUAAAGAUUCUAACUCGGAGGUUCUUUCUUUACAUUCUGUUCCGGUGGUGAAUGAAUUUCCUGAGGUCUUCCUUGAUAACCUUCGUGGUAUCCCUCCCGAUAAAGAGAUUGAAUUUUGGAAAGAUCUUGUUUCGGACACUUGUCCUUUCUCUAUUCCCCCAUAUAGAAUAGCCCCGAUUGAAUUAAGGAGCUUAAGGAGUAAUUAAGGAAUUUUGUAGACAAGGGUUUCAUCCAUUCUAGUAUGUCCCAGUGGGGUGCACUGCAUUUAUUUAUGCAUAAGAAAGAUGGUUCCCUUCAGAUGUGUAUUAACUACUGGUAGCUGAAUAAGAUGACAGUAAAGAAUAAGUACCCUCUUCCAAGGAUAGAUGAUUUGUUUGAUCAGCUUUAGGGUGCUAAGUUCUUCUCUAAGAUCAAUCUUUAGUUUGGGUAUCAUCAGUUAAAGAAUAGGGAGAUAGAUAUCCCUAGGACAUCUUUCCAUACCUGGUAUAGGCAUUUUGAGUUCUUGGUGAUGUCGUUUAGCUUAACUAAUAUCUCGACAAUAUUUAUAGACUUGAUCAAUAGGGUCUUCUAGCAGUUUCUGGAUCUAUUUAUGAUUGUCUUUAUUGAUUAUAAUUUGGUGUACUCUAAGAGUGAGGAGGAUUAUGUCGAUCACCCUUGCAUUAUUUUGCAGACCAUGAAAGAUCAGCAGUUGUAUGCUAAGUUCUCUAAAUGCAAAUUAUAGUUAAACUCUAUUAUAGUUUAGGGUCAUGUUGUGUCUAGUGAAGGGAUCAUAGUGGAUCCUUAGAAAGUUAUUAUGGUUAAAAAGUUGCCUAGACCCAUGUCUCCAAUCAAUAUUUAGAGCUUCUUGGGUUUAUCUUGUUAUUAUAGGAGGUUCGUGGAAAGUUUUUCUUCUAUUUCUAUUCUAUUGACCAAGUUGACUCGGAAGAAGGUGGAGUUCUUGUGGUCUGAUGCUUGUGAGGGUAGUUUUGAGAAACUAAAAGAUAAGUUGACUUCAGCUCCUGUCUUAACUCUACCAGAGGAUACCAAGGGUUUCGACAUCGAUUGUGAUGCAUCCUAAAUUGGUUUGGGUUCUGUGUUGAUGCAGCAUGGUAAGGUGGUUGCUUAUGCCUCUAGACAAUUAAAGGUUCAUGAUAAGAAUUAUCCGGCUCAUGACUUGGAGCUUAUGGCUGUGGUGUUUAUAUAAAAAAAUUGGCUUUAUUAUCUAUGUGGGUUUCAUAUUGAUAUCUUUUUUUAUCAUAAAAGCCUUCAAUAUGUGUUUACUCAGAAAGAGAUUAAUCUCAGGAAAAUGAGGUGGCAUGAGUUACUGAAGAACUAUGAUAUAAGUCUUCACUACCAUCCAGGUAAAGAUAAUAUUAUUGCUAAUGCUCUUACCAGGUUAUCCAUGAGGAGUCUAUCUCACGUGGAUGAGGGUAAGUAAUAAUUAGUGAAGUAUAUUCACUGUUUGGCUAACCUUGGAGGUCAUCUUUUGGAUUCUAAAGAUGGUGGUGUGUUUGUGCAACAUAUGGCUCAAUCAUCUCUUGGUUUGGAAAUAAUGAAAAAACAGGUAUUAGAUCCUCUUUUGAUGAAGAACAAAGAUGAUGUGGGUAAGCAGAAGGUAGUGGCUUUUGAGAUCAGUGUUAAUGGUAUCUUGAGGUACUAAGAGAGUUUGUGUGUUCCCAAUGUGGAUGGAUUGUAAGGAAGGAUUUCGAGGCCCAUGAGUCACGGUAUAUGGUUCAUCUCGAUUCGACAAAGAUGUAUCAUGACCUUAAGGAGAUGCAUUAAUGUAAUAAUAUGAAACAGGAUAUUUCCAACUUUGUGGCUAAGUAUAUGGUAUGUCAGCAAGUGAAGGUGGAGCACAUGAAGGACGGCGGGCUACUUUAAGAGAUUGAAUUGCCGGUUUAGAAAUAGGAGGUAAUUAAUAUGGAUUUUAUUAUCGGUCUUCCACGGUCACGGAAUCACUGUGACUCCAUUUAGGUCAUCGUGGAUAGGAUGACUAAGUCUGCUCACUUCUUUCCAGUGAGGACUACUUAUUCUUUAGAGGAUUAUGUGAAGUUAUUCCUACAAGAAGUGGUAAAGUUUCAUGGUGCGCCUUUAUCGAUUAUUUUGGAUCUUCGUACUCAAUUCUCAUUCCUUUUCUGGUUCUCUUUUCAGCGUGGUUUGGGGGGCUAAAGUGAGUCUUAGUACGACUCUUCACCCGCGGUCGUAUGGGCAAGCUGAAAGGCCUAUUUAGACUUUGGACGAUAUGUUGAGAGCUUUUGUAAUUGACUUUGGUGGUAGUUGAUUCGACUACUUUCCUCAUAUUUAAUUUGCCUAUAACAAUAGUUACCAUUCUACCAUUGGUAUGGCCCCAUUUGAGGCAUUGUAUGGGAAGAGGUGUAGAUCUCUUAUUAGGUGGUUCGAGGUUAGUGAAGCGGAUAUGUUUGGCCCGGAUUUUGUUCACUAAUAUAUGGAGAAGGUGAAGGUGAUUUGGGAUAGGAUUAAGACCACCAAAAGUCAUCAAAAGUCGUAUGCGGAUGUAAAGCGAAGGGACUUAGAGUUUGACGUUGGAGAUUGGGUAUUCUUGAAGGUAUCUCCCAUGUACGGAGUAAUACGAUUUGGGAAGAAGUGGAAGCUCAGUCCCAGUAUGUUGGCCCGUACUUGGUUUUGAGAAAGGUUGGAAUUGUUACAUUUGAGUUGGAUUUUCCCUCUAGCAUGAGUUCAAUUCAUUCGGUAUUCCAUUUAUUUAUGUUACUGAAAUACGUGGGUGAUCCUUUGUUGGCUGUUCCUUGGAGAACAUUGGUAUUUUUUAUUCUUUUCCUAUAAGAAGGUCCCGAUGAAGAUCUUGGAUUGGCAAGUUCGUUUGUUGCGAAUGAAAGAUGUAGCUUUGGUAAAUGUUAUAUGGCGAAACCAAAAGUCUGAGGAAGCUACUUGGGAAGCUGAGGAGAUCAUGAAGUCCAAGUCUCUAUUCCCAUUCCCUAUUUCGGAAGGUCAUGCUUGAGGCAUGUGUUCUUCUUAAGAUCCUUAUUUUCUGUCUUUGUUAAAUAAAAAGGGUGGUUUGCUUGGCAUCUUUUUUUUUUCUCUGUUGGUUAAAGCUAAGAGUAGAGGCAUUUAGAGUCCAAAUCAUGCUUGUAUGCCUUCUCCCAUUAUUUGAGGAUGAAUGAUCCUUAAUGGGAGAGACUAAAGCACCCCAAACAUCGACCCUUAUGGAAUUCUUGAUCCUUGAAAGCUCUGUCUAUUAUACGACUUAGACUAUAAGUCAUAUGAUGUUGUAACGGGUCUAGGGACCCUAGCAGUAUAUUGGUUAGUGUAUUGUUGGCCAAAUUAUGUCCUAAUUAUGAGAGGCACCAUACGAGUUGUAUGGUGAUAUGAUGAGAGGGUAGGGCUAAUCGUAUAUUAUCCAGUAUUUUUCCCUUGAUGUUCUGCCUUGGAUACGACUUGAUGGUACUAGUCAUGUGGUGUUGUAACAAGUAAGGCCAUGGAUUCGUAUGUUGGACAGAAUGUGGUGUCCAACUUUCUAAUCUUGUGAUGACUUGAGGGAACUACUCAUAUGUUGUGGUGAUGAGUUGGAGGGUCCAAUUGUACCCACCUGCGAGUUUUCUACAACUUUUAAGGUGAGGGUAUUAAGUAUAUUUCCCACCCUAAUUCCUUAAGACCCUAUAUCUAAUAACACUUGUUGGACAUUCAUUCUACACUUAGCAAGAUUAAAACACUCUCUAGACUCUCUCAAAAACUUCUCAAGAAAGAUUGGGCUAGGGUUUUUCCAAGGUGGUCAUCUAGAGGCUUAAGGAUCAAAAUCUCUCUGUGAAUCUUCAUAAAUCAGGAAUGUGACUCUUCCUUCAUUUUUAGUUCACAAAAAUCAUGUGUUUUAAACACUUUUCAUGAAUUAUUAAUGGUGGUUUUGAAAACCAUAAUGGAAGUUUUGAAUAUAUAAUGUUGAGUAUUGUUUUUACAUGGUUUAAAUUGUGAUUAUAUAUGUUUUGAUAAUAGUUUUGCACAUGUGGAUACUUGGGAAUUGUUAUUUAAACUAAGGGGUCAUGGUUAACCCUAAGUUGAUGCUUUUUGGCUCGAAUAAUGGUUUGAUAAUGGUAUGCCCUUAACUUGUUUGUGAAAUUACCUAUGAGAAUGAUCUUGUCACAUGUUGAAUUGUGUUUUGAACUAAGACAUUGGCCUAAUAAUGUAUGUGGUUGGUAAAUGGUUUUAUGAAAGCCUUGUUUUCCAUAAAUUGGUUUGAAUUUCUUAAUGAGUUCGAGUCCCUAAAUGUUGAAUUAACUUAAUGUCUUUGUUUGGACAAUGGGUCCGAAUCCCAAAGUUUAUUAAUAAUGGUUUUGACAUGUUGUAUGCUUGCAAGUGGAGUUAGUAUGACGAUACCAGUGGGAUCCUUUUGUAGGUAAUUGGAUUAAUGGUUGUGUAUAUAUGUAAGGAAUGUUUUAAUUGGGCUUUAAAGUGGGAUGUGUAGUCGGCAGUGAAAGUGAAGUUCGAAGGGCUAACACUAGAAACUGCGCUAGUCGGUACGGGUGUCUAUAUGACUAGGAGGUUUGAGUCUCCCAAAGGGAUGUAUGAAUGGAAGCUUCGAGCCCUCCAUAUUGUAUACAUUGGUGCUUAAGUCACCUUAGUUAUGCUGGGAGGUUUGAGUCCCCCAUAAAGGCAUAUACGGAUAUGGAUACUCCUUGGUUCAUGUGGCUACACGUACUGGGUCCCUCCCAUCUAGUGGAGAGAUGGGCCAAGAUAGCCUGUAGGUGCCUUGAUAUAUGAUGGUUAUGCUACACACCCCAGGUUAAGGUUUUUAAAGUUCAUUCUAAGCCUUGUUCCCAAUCCUGGCAUGAUAUAUAUAUAUAUAUAUAUAUAUNNNNNNNNNNNNNNNNNNNNNNNNNNNNNNNNNNNNNNNNNNNNNNNNNNNNNNNNNNNNNNNNNNNNNNNNNNNNNNNNNNNNNNNNNNNNNNNNNNAUAUAUAUAUAUAUAUAUAUAUAUAUAUGUAUGUAUGUAUGUGAUUGUAUAUGAUAAUUUGACUUUGUUUUUGAAUGAUGGCAUUAUUUUAUUCCUUUAUUCCUGAGUUAUAUGCCAGUGCUCCAACCGAAAACCAUCUUCAGAUGUUGUAUCCCCAUGCGAUGAGGUCUCGAAACUUCUUCUACUUCUCCUGUGCAAUGAUUAGGUGCUCAAGUUGGUUCGUGAGUUGACAUUGAAGUGGUGAACUUCCUUACUCGUAAGGACACAAGUCAUGGCCUUUAUAUUGUUCUUCGAGAGAGUGGUAACAAAGUCUUUAAAUAGGAUUCCCUCACUCUUCUCAAAGAGGUAUCCAUUCAUUGGGACUAUAGUGUAGCCUAUUUUGUUUUUGCAUACUUGAGUUCCUCGCUAAAGUAAACUCCGAAAAACUUCCCUGUCGGGAAGACCAGAGUCUAAUCCCCUGUUCGAUAGGGGAGAAAGGGCCUUUUCAUUUUCUUUGUCCUCGGGUAGACUAUUCUAUGUCUCAGACUUUGUUAGACUUUGUUUUGGCUACUAUCGGGGGCAUGUCCCGACAUUUUAUUAAUUUUAGAUUUAUAGAGGUUUUGUUGGAUUACUGUGUACUUGGAUGUGUUAUUUUGGUGGAUUGGCUCAGUGAUGGACGGUUGUUCGACUACUGGUGAUUGGUUUAGACAUUUCAUGAAUAAAUAUUUGUCUUAGUUUACACUAUCUUGUUAUAUGUUCGGAAUUCAUCCAACGUGUGAGGUUGUUGAGUUAACUAGGUUAGGUUAAGGGCGUACUCUCCAGUACAUGUGGGACUUGAGAUACCCAUAACGGCCAGGCCCUGGUCUAGUCAUGACACUACCACGCCAUUAGUAAGCCAAACCGUAACCCAAAGCUAAAUGCAAGGGGUUAACUUGGUGGAAAUAGCCUUAUCAUAGGAGAAAAUUAACAAAACACUUAUGAAUAAGUAAAGAGUUCUAAAUAGAUAAAAUACUCAAUACAAGAUUCCAUCUCAUGACAAGGUAGAUCCAGUACAAGAGCAUUGAGUUAUAUUACAAUUUAUAGACUUAGAAUAGUCAACAACAUCUGUCUCGGUAACAAAAGACAGAAUAUCUAAAGAUAGAAGAAAAUAGGUGACUCCGACUCUAAGAGCUCACCCUAUCUCUAGAAAAUCAAUACAGUGGGAUCAAUGAUCAACGAUGACAGCUAGUACUUGGAUCUACACCAAAAAGGUACAAAGUGUAUCAUGAGUACCAAAACAACAUGUACUCAGUAAGCAUCAUCGAUUGAAUGAGAAAAAUCAUGAUAUAAGUAUGAUAAAAUACAAGAUAACAUAACUAAGGCAAGGUACAUAAAUGAAUUUGAUUCAUCUUUAAUACUACUGUACAUUAUAAGUAAUUUAACCCGAACAACUAUAUAACACAAGGGAUCAACACACACCAUCAUUACCAUGCAAUAUACGUAAAUAAAUUAGAAUAAUAACACAUCACAAGGCAUCACACAAGCAAUCACAACUACAAAAUUGGCUCCCACACACUAAUUGGUGUGGAAAGUAAAUAACUCAUCACAUACUUCCAUACGCCAAGAGAGUACACUCAAAGAUAGAAUAAAACAACUAUUCAUCGCUUAUGUAUAACCGACUCAUUAUUUAACCAUCAUUCCACAAUUUACCAUGAAUCGGUCAUUUACCAACAUUUGAUAAUGUACUCACAUUUCAUAAUAUUAACAUUAUUUAACAACCUUAUCAUCGUUACUCACUAGUCACCAUUUAUUAGCUAACCAAGUCUUAUGAAUUAAUCUAUUUCAUUACUAGUCAUUAUAUAAUCUUUGUUCAUCAUUUAGCAACUAGUCACCACAUAUCCGCUAAUCACCAUUUAUUUGAUAACCAUUAUUUUUCAACUAACACUUUUAUUAUCUAAUUGUUCUUUACCAACUAACCCUCGAUUAUCAACUAGUCAUUAUUUUACCACUUAAACAACAUUCACUAAUCAUCAAUUAUACCAUCUUCUAAUCAUUUGCCACCUUUUGGCCUUAUUCGGCCUCGCUAAUACCAAUUUCAUGCCAGACUACAUAUAAGUGUGUGUAUAUAUAUAUGAUAGCAAUACAUAGUGCAUAUUUGGACUUAAACCAAUAGAUGUACACAUAUGCACAUUAAUAUAAUCAUUCUUUGGCCUUGUACGGGAUUAAUACAUCAGCAUAAACAUCCUCCGACCUUACCGGGUAUGAAUAUGUCAUCAAAAUCAUCCUCCGGAUUUAUCGGGUAUCAAUAUAUCUUCAUAAUCAUCCCUUGGCCUUGCAUGUAUCAAUAUAUCAUCAUAAGCACUCUCUGAACUUGUCGAGUAUUAAUAUAUAAUCACAAUCUGUAUCAGAUAUCAAUAUAAAUAUAUUAAUACUAAUAAUUGAACUCAAAUGGAUAGCCACAUCAUCAUAGAUGAUGGAAAAAUCAAUAGCAUGACUGAUCAUUUUAUAAAUAUUCAUGAUCUCAAGCAUAAUUGAUAGCAUAACUUCCCAUAUAAUCAAUAAGUAUGAUUUCUAACUUUAUUCAUGGCACAAUUUCUAAUAUCAUCAACAGGGAUGUUCUCUAGCAUGAUUACUAACGUACUUUCUUAGCACAAUCAUAAUCAUAAGAAAUAUCAUGAGCAAUGGCUUACCAAUAGUAUAUUUAAUGGCUUAUCAUUAGUAUAAAAGAUAGUUUAUCAUUUGAAUCAUUUUAUAGUUAUCAAAGUAUGAUUUAUAGCGCAUUCAUAGAGAAAUCCAACCAUCUUUAUCAAUUAGUCCAUGAUCAUUACUUCUAAUAUCGUUACAACUAUAAUAAAUUACCAUGGUUCCUUAAUAUUUCCUCAAAAGGUCAUUCUCUAGGUAUUCAAAAAAUGUAUAAGGGUUUCAAGGGAACUAAUCAUCAAUCUUGACUUAAGGUGGGUAAAAGAGCCCACUUCUAAAUCUCUAAAAUACAUUCUAAGUCAAAUUCUACCCCGGACUAGGCUAAGGUAUCUAAAUCCACUAUUACAUGUAUAGCAAGCCACAAUUUGUCCUAUGGUAAUGGUUCUUCUCAAACACAACAACUAAGCCAAUAUAUUAACUAAAGCAACCUUCCUUAAUGAAAGAACUAAGGCCAAUCUUACCCUAAGUAUGGGUGUCUAAAGAAUUUUUAUCUAACUUGAGCGAUCUAAGGUAUUCUCAUGCUAAACAUGAUACAUGAAGCCUAAUUCACCUAAGGCAUAAGAAAACAAGUCAAAUGUCUUAAAUCUAUGGUUUCAAAUGACUUAAAUGGUCAAACUAACCACUACCACCCAGUCUUGCAUCUCAUCAAUCCAACAUCUAAAACUCAUUCCAAUCUAACAAGAUAUCAUAAACAUACUAUGACAUAGCUUAAUAUAAGAAGCGAUAAACCUAGCCUACCUCAAUGCUGAAAAAAACUCAAUGAACCGCUAAACCACCAUUUUCACCUUUCAAGAAACCUCCACAAGAGUCCAAGAUAUCAAAAACACAUUAUACUCAUCAAUAUGAGAAUAACAAUACCCAUAUUACACCAUUGUGCUUUGGGUCCAAAAAUCAUACCAAAUCCCCAUGUGGAUCCUACUUACGAAAAUCACAUUUCUGAAACCAACCCAACAUAAUAUCAAGCUCAAGUAAUCAUUACCCUAAAAAAUUGAUGUAAACUAAGCUAAAUUAGGGAUAAAAUCAAGCCCUUAAGGAUUUGGGGUUUUGAGCAAGAAAUAAAGAAAUUUCACCAAGAAAAGGGUGAAUUAUUACCUCAAAUCCAAAUAUAAUUGCAAAAAAUAAAUGUUAGUCUAGCUUCUCAAACAACAACAAGCUUCAAUUUUAAGCUAUCACGCUUUUAUGGUUUAUUCUCUCAAGAAAGGGGUGAGAAAUUGCUAAAUUUGCAAUAUUUGGGGUCUAUUUAUACCCAUACUAAGUGCUUGGGUCCCAUUAUCGCAGACCCAGACCUGCGAUCAUAACUUAUGACACUAGGAUCAAAUGUUACGAUCGUAACACCCCUUCUAACAAUUGCACCACGUUCUCUGCUACAGGUAUCGUAAUCGCGACCCUUGGCUUGCGAUUUGCAGCUUCACCAGAUGAUAGCUGAAACUUGGAAAAUCUUCCAAGUUUCUGUCAAGCCCUCAGGAUUCAUCCAAAAUCCCAUAUACAAAAUUGAACUAUGUAACCAUACCAAAUUAGAUGUUACAGAUUAUAUGAAGCACUCAGAAUUUAUAUCCGAGGUCUUUUUGACCAAAUGCGAGUCCCACACUCAUAUUUCAUUUUCUUAACUUUUAGACCAAUAGGUCAAAAUAAGCUCGAGUGCCUUGGGACCUAAACCAAGGAUCUACAUAGCCUAAAAUUGAUAUUUCAAGGCUGUUGGUGUAGUCAAAAUUUGCAUAUGAGAUCAUUUUGCUGAAGUUUUUUCCCCAUGGUCAUUUGGAACAAAUGAAGAAUUCAAAAUGGGGAAUUAGCUCUAAAAACCAAACAAACUACCCGGUAAUCAAACUGUCAAGUCCAAAAAGUCAUAAAUGUCUUGGGACAGCUCUAGAAAAGCUUUAGCGGCAAAAAGAAGCAGAAACAUAGAAAAUGACUUAAAGGGUCAUUAUAAAUCCUAAUCUUUGAUAUUAUGCCUACCACUCACUCAGACUCAUACUAAUUAAUGACCUCCACACAUGGUACAUAUUAUUUUAUUACAUACUUUCCCAUCCACCAUGUUUAUACCUACAAUUCUAUAACUAACUAUACACAACUAUGUACACAUAACUUACAACUCUUCCAAACUGAAAAAAAUCCCUCACAACACUCGGGCCUUUAGUACCCCCUCUUGAUAUCCCCAAACUAAGAUUUACAGACCCCUGAUCUUACUGAAGGUAUACUCUGGGUCUAACACUCACUCAUAACAUUCAUAGUCAUCUUAACCAUUCUUCUAACCAUCUAAUAUGCUUAUACUUAUUGGCCAACCUCUAGAUCAUGCAAGACUUAUAUCCUAAGGAGCAAAAUAAUUCAAUAACAUAUCAUCUAAUAUCAUACAAUCUAGGCCUAUUCCAGUUAUCACAUUCCAUCCAACAAAAAUCCAUGCACGAAAGCCUAAGGAAUGGAAUGUCCCAACAUUAAUAUCAUUAUUACAUGCAUCUAGGCCAAGCUACUAUAAUUAAACCAUAACCUAUUUGGUAGAUAAAUUUCAUUACAAAUAAGAGAGAAGUGUUGUCCCAUAUGUGCUUGGCCACUUCUAACAUUGGAAUUCUAUCAUAAAUGCUAUAGAAUCACCCUCAUGAAGCUCAAUUUCCAAUUUCUCAUUAUUCUAGGCAAUGGGUUCACUUAUGGUGUUUUUGAAAGAGCGAGAUGACAUAAGGAGAAUCAGCUAAAUGAAGGUUUCAAUUAGCCCUUGGUUUAGGUACUCCUUGAUUGCCGAUGUAGUGGCAGAAGUGUCACUACAACUUAGAUCUACCACUACAGUGGCAGGUCAGUGGCCUAGUGCAAUUUGUCAUAAUCCCAUGCCAAUUAAAUUUGGGAUACUUUUUCCCAUAAAGUAUGUUUUACAAAGACAAAAAAUGGAUUUAUUAAUUGCUACAUUUCCUGGGGAUUGUUUUUAAAAUGACAAUGAUUUGGGUUUUUAUAUUAGAUACCAAUUUACCCUCUAUUUAUCCUCAAUUAUAGAGAAAGGAAAAUAAUUUUAGCACUAUUCUUAAAAUUCAACGUGCAUGGUGAUUUGAAAAUGAAUGAUAUUAACUGCUAAAGAAAAUUACUAUCAUAAUUUAUGAAAUGUGUCAUUUGAAUUACUCAGUACACUGUAAAAUACUGUAAUUCAUGAAAAUUCAUAGUAAAUAAAACUUUAGGGAUCCUGCCUCUACAGCGGCAGACCUAUCAUUGUAGCAAUACUGCUACAUCGAUAGAAUUAUAUUUAUUGUGGAGUUUGGUAGUGACAAAUAGGGGAAAUAUUGAUUUCUCUUACUUUUAAAUCACACUCGUCAAAAAUCUCUGAAUUAUCUUUGAGGUAAUGUUUUUUCAAUGACAAUACAAUGUAAUUUCAUAUCCUGACUACUUCUUUUAUGCACUUAUCAUCAUAGAAUCACAAAAUCAAGAGUAGAAAAAGAAUUUUUUGGGUUGGUUUUCUUGGUGCAAUUUUUAAUUUUUAAUUUUGGUAGCUUUCUUGCUUGAUAUGAAAAGCAUGAUAGAUCUCCUGCGUAACACUCCAACAAUAUUCUAGGCUUAAUGCUGAUGUUGUUCAUGGUGUCUUUUGUCUUAGAAAGGGUGGAAGAAGAACAUUCACCCUUUCCAAUGAUUUAGAAUAAUUUGGGCAUGAUUUUGGGUGUUAGUCACCCCUAUUUUUGUGUAAACUAUUUCACACAUACUCUACCAAGUACAAUUUAUACUUAGAAAUAAAAUUUGAUGUGUAGUUGUAAUUCCGCUAUAAGAGGGUGGUUAGGACUGGCUGAGGAUGAUGGAACUACUUCACCAGUGGAUUUUUUGUUGCAAAGACACCACUACAACAAAGCUUCUGCCGUUGUGACGUCAACUAAUAGCUCCUCCAGAUUUCUUUUCUUGUUUUUGAAUUUUCUUCCCUUCCUAGCAUUUUAACUCAUUUUCUAAUGUUGUAAUAUCAAAAUUUUUAGGACUACUAUGGAUAAACAACCCUAAUAUAAAUGGUCUCCCAACUCUGCCAUUCAUGAACAUUAUGAGGAGAGGUUUCUCAAUAGAGGAUUCCUUCGUGAGAGAGGAUUUAUGAUGAAGGAUGUAGAGGAUGAGCCACCUGACUUCUACGACCAGCUUAAGGCUUUUAGUUGGGAAAUGCUAGCGGAGUCAGUCCCUAAAUGCAAUUUGGAUAUAGUUUGGGAGUUCUAUGACAUACUCCUAAUGAUGGUGAGUCUAUGCCCCUUCUACCAUCCACAUUCGAGGGAAAUACAUUCUAAUGGAUAAUAACACCAUCAACGAUACCUUAGGGGUUCUAGACCCCUCUAAUGCCCCCUUUACGGAUAAAAUUAUAGAGUCAGACUUGAAAUAGGUGGCACAAAACAUAGCUCCAGAUGAUGAUAAGGGUAAGGUAAAGUAGACUAGCUUCAAGGGGACCAAAAGAACUCCCUUUUCAUUAGAGGUUCAAGGAUUUCUGCAGUUGAAGUCUCGAUGGAUUCGACCUUCAGGAAAUAUGAUGGAUGUACCCUUCAAUAGAGCUACGAUAGUGUUCUCCACUCUAUUAGGGAUAUAUACUAAAUGGUGGGAUGUAGAUUAUUAUCAAAUAGCAGCAUUUAUAAACUAAGUGGGGUCCUUAAGGGAUCUAGUUUUUCCUUCUAUGAUCACCUAGCUAGUGUACAAAGGUGUGGAGGUGCCAAGGAAGUGCAUGAUACCUUGAAAGAACAAGAUGUGUCUUUCAAUAAAUUUAGUGGUAAAUUUUAAUAUAGAGGGAGAAAGAACAAUAGAAAGCUAGUGGAUCAGAGGAGCGUGAGAGUAAUAGGGUCAGAGAGGGAUAGCAGACUAGCACCACUCCUACAUCGACUCAUUUAUUCCUCGAUGGUUGGGAGACCGACCUCUUUGUUGUAUGAGGUUCCAUUAGCCUCCUCUAGGUUUGGCUUCUUAAAUCACCACUACUCCACCUUACUUGGCCAGAGCCAAUGCGGAGCUCCAAAUGGAGCUAGAUAAUAAGAAAAAGAAAAGGUGCACCCAGUAUUUCUUGAUGGUCAGACUAUGGAAGGUUGUGUGAGUUAUGUUUAAGCGUGUUUCCCUUACUAUAAAGUUCCCAAAGUUGUCAAAGAAGGAGGAGAGGAGUUCUCUUUUCUUAGCAUGAAGGAGAAAAGAUCUGAUGCUCAAGCCACGAAGAUAAGGACACCAUCUAGAUCCCUCCUAUUUCAUUUAGUAUUUUCUAGUUCUUGAGUUUUGGUAUGUAACAAAAAACCUAUUUCCUUUAAUUUAUUGCAAUUUUAGGACAUCAAAUGUUACCAUACAUUUUUCAAUUGUAAUUAACAAACACAGGGUCAUUUUUGCAAUGAAGAAAAAAUGUAAAAUAGGAAGGUUUGGCAGUCUUACUGCCUAGCGUUGCUAUGGUGAAGGAAUAACCGCUAUAGCGGCGAAAGUUCAACUGCAGCUAUAGUGUAGAAGUGGAAUAGAGCCUCUACAACAACAUUGUUGUGACACACACUGGUGGCUCUGAUUUUUCAACCUUUCCAUGUACUUUCUCACAUGAUGCUAUCUCAUGAACAUUUUAUUCCCUCUACCCCUCAUUCCUUAGAAAUUUUUAGACCAAGAAUGCCAAAUUUUAUAAGUCUAAGUUAUUGUUAAUACAGUUCUCAAUCCCUCAACUUAAUUCAACAUACUAAUAAUUCUAUUUCCACUCAACUUAAGUAAUUACUCGGCAUGAUAACUUACAUUAAUAAAAAGCAAGUUGCCUAGGUAAUUCGUCAAGAAGCAUAUGUUAAUUAAUGAAUACUUCAAAUCAUAGAAAAUUAAGACGUGUCUCAAAACAUAAAAACAAAGAUAAGCCCUAAAAUCACAACUAGCCCCUUAUAUUCUUGAGUUCCUUUGUAAUAACUCCCCCAUAUGGCUUAUGAUAAUCAUGUUCACCUUAGAAAGUUGAUUCACACACAUUAAGGCAUCACUAUAGCGAACAAUAAAGAUCCAUAUAAUACGUAUAUGUAAUAGCUAGUAGUUAAAAACAAGUAGUCUCAGCGAACAUGACCAGUCACUAAGAGAAAGGUCUGCCCAUUUUGCAAUAAUGAAAGAUACACCAAGCAAUAUGUCCAAAUCUAACUUAAAACAUUAGAAUACAAGUCAUAUGCCCCUUAUUGACCUCUAUUAAUGGGAAUAAUACUACUUUAACUUUCCAAAUAUUUUUGAGUUACCAGUUGGGACUAACUAAUCCCAAUUGUGUUUGUUGAGAUACUAAUUGUAAUUUGCUAGAUACAAUUAGACUCAAUUGAGAGAGGCAACACCAAUUAGAACUUUAUGAAAGUUAAAAAGUGAGAUAAAUUCUUAAAUGUCUUGUAGCUUUCUACAGAUUCAGUACCGAUGUCAACAUACAAAUUCACAACAAUUUAAUCAAUAUUUGCUCUUGUACUAGGAACCCGAUAACUUAGGCUUUGAUAUCAUCUUUUCAUGAACAAAACCAUAGAUCAUGCGGGCAUUUACACAACUCUACCCUAGAUGGGAGAACCCUUAUUACCAAAUAAUUCAUUAAGUGUGGAAGUUAAAUGAAACUAUAUUUUGAAGAAAUAAAUCCCUUACACAUGAAUAAAAUCCUAUUCAAAAUACAAUUAUUAACUAUUUACAAUGCAAAAUAAGUUAAUAAUGAUUGUCCAAAAACUAAUCUAACCGGUACAAGAGUGCUAAGAAAUGAAAGAGAGAAUCUGGGGCACAAUGUCCAUGUAAGAAUAUGAUUAUAUGAGCUACUGAAGAGUAAUAAUUGUCAUAGCUAUACAAAUUCCAACUGACCUAUAAUAUGGCUAUACCCCUAAUGGAGAUAUGGUAAGUGUAGUAUUAGUACAACCACAUGUAAUGGUAGGUAUCAUUGACCAACCAGGUUAGAAAUAGAUAACAACAAUAGAAAAUAGGAUAAAAUCAUGACACCAGUUAAAGAUUCGUAUAACAAAACCUCCCAAGGUAUCUUCAGGUCUUUGACAUAUUCCCUUUAGCAUCUACGUGGCCUUCCUGAUAUUUAACACUUUUGUGUAUCUUGUCCUUUGAUGAUUUGGCCCUACUCAAGUCUAUUAAUUCUUCACUAACAAACCUAUGAUUCUGUUCCUAAUUUGAGCAUGAUUCACUACCUUACCCCUAAAAAUUACUAACGAGACUACAAGCUUGACUAUCUAGAGUACUAUAAGGACUAGAAUGGGUCAGCCAAUUAUCUCUCAUACAUAUAUAAUACAAAUGCAAACAGAGGACAAUCUUAUCCCUACAUCGAAAUAGAUAUAAGAAUAAACAACACCUUAAUUACACUUAAGCAAUUCUCUUUUUAUAAUGAUAGCACCCUAUGUAUUUUUAAUAAAAUAAUGUGUGCAUGCAUGCAAAAAGUACACAAAUAGUAAAGUAAGAAAGGACUCUCGGAUAUGACCUGCAAGGGAUGAGCUCAGUCUCUGUACUAGUAUCGAUGUGGUACCCGAUCCAAUAAUAGUGUCUUUGUGACAUCCAAUCUAUAUAACAUCUCACUAUAAUCUAAACAACAACAUCGUCUCAAUAUCAUCUCAACACAAUCUCUUCAUCAUAUAAAUAUCCAAUUUUUAAUGUAACAAUGCAGUCAAUACUCAAAAGUCAUGCCCAAAGGCAAUCACAAACAUCUAAUUCACAUAUAAGCAUAGAGCCAAAUAAAUCUUUAAAACAAAAAACCAACUUCUAUUCUACCGCAGAUUAUACAAAUAGUUAUCUUACAUAAUGAUGCAAAUAUAUUCUUAUGUAUAUGUAUUUACAAAAGCAUAUAGUAAAACUAUCCCAUGUGACGCUAGACAACUUGCAUUCUCCCGAAAUAUGCUCAUACACUUAGUUAGCACUCAUGCCUCUGCUAGCAAUUCCAAUUUCAAAUUCUAUGCCUACUACUCACUGAAAGUUACACCAACUAAUGACCUCUAUCCUAGGUACUAAGUCCAUUUGUCACUAACCUUACCUCCACCCCAGUUAUAGAUAUAAACAACCACAUACACAAAGCUUACAAUUUUUUCAACUCUUGUAAACACCUCACAACAUUCAGGACUCUACUACCCCUACCCUAUUUUCCAUUAUCAAACUGAACUUUACUAAACCCCCUAUGAUUCUGACAAAGGUAUAAUCUAGCCCUAACUCUCACACAUAGAAUUCGUAGUCAUUUUAAUCUUUUUUCUAACCCAAUAAUAUGCUUAAAUUGAUUGAAUUGCCUCUAGCUCUCAAAAAACUUAUACACUUAGAUAAUUAAAUAGUAAUAAAAUUUAAUAACAUAUCAUCUGAUAUCACACAGUCAAAACCUAGUUUGAUUAUCAAAUUUUGUCCAACUAAACUCUAGGCCCAAAGCCUAAGGCAUGAAAUCUCCUAACAUUAAUAUCAUUAUACAUGAAUCUAGCCCAAGUCUACUACAAUUAAAUCACAACAUACCUCAUAGAUGAAUUUCAUUGCUACAAAGAGCGGAGACUUGUCCCAAUGUGCUUGGCCUCAUCAAAUAUUGGAAUUCCAUGAAAAAUGCCUCAGAAUCAUCCUCUUUUGAUCCUGAACUCCAAAUCCUCAUAUAUUAGGAAAAAUAUUCACUUGGGUUGUUUUCGGAGGAGGGAGACGACAUAAGGAUGAUCAACGAUAUAAGGGUUUCAACUAACACUCAUAUUAGGUAUUGCCCGACUACCACUGUAGCAGCGAAAGUACAAUUGCAGUGGUGGAUCUACCAUCGCAGCGACAUGUCAAUGGCUUGACCUAAUUUAUCCCAAUACCAACCCAAUUAGAUUUGGUCCAUGCUUUUUCGUAUGAAAUAAU
rnacentral:lncRNA from 1 species